rnacentral:lncRNA from 1 species
AUUAAAUCAGUCAUGACCUUCUAAAAAAAGAAAAGAAUGAAGACCUAAGUUUCAUCUUCUUCACAAAAACAAGGGAGGCGUUUUUCAUGAAAAAGCAUGGAAUAGCAUCUUCUUCAACAAAAAGAACACAAAAAAAUCCUAGACUUCAUCUCCACCCCACAAGCCACCCUAUUUCCAUCGGACAACCACCACUUCAACUCCCUCCUCUCCAAAAGAAAGCAAUCGCGUCACACCAUCUUCACCUUCUGACUGCUGCCGAACAACCACCCACCAACGUACCGCUGACCAGUCAUCUUCCUCACCAUAAAAACUAGCUGCACCCUCACAGUCGUCCACCACCAUAGCAGCACCCCACACCAGCGACCCCUAGCCUUGUACCAUCUUCUUCGGCUGAGAACCAAGAGAACAUAACCUUAGAGCCGAAGACCCCUGAACCUUUUCUGUCCGUUUUCGAGUUCGUCGCCGAUCGAGAUUGUUCGACAUCGAUUCUGAUUCGAGCCCUGCUGCUGAUCAAGGUUAGAGUCUGAGUUUCCGCUCAGGGUCAUCGAGGUCCGGACUGUUGAGCUCGUCAAUCAUAGCUUGGGCUUGGAGUUUUCUUUUCUAUUCGUUGUUUCAAAGACACAUUGCAACUAUAAAGGUCCAUUCUGAUAUCUUUAUUAUUUCUUAUGUGGUGAUAGUUUUACCAUGAUUAUCGAUAUUUUCUAGUUGUGACUUGACUAAAAUUAAUAGUUCAUCAUAGUUUUUGUUGGUUUUAAUCAUCUGGUUUUGCAUUCUCGUUGAAAUAUUAGACCAUGGCUCAUAUGCUGAAAUGGAAUGAAACAUUAGUUUUUGUUAUAAAAAAAGGCAUAGGGUACUGCCAAUUAUUUAAGUGGGUGGUGACCAAUGAUAUUUAGAUUGGAAUCAGAUUUUUACCAUGGAUGUUGCGUGAAAAUUAGGCUUUAACUGCUUUUACUACUAAAUUUUGUCGGUAGGAGCAUGCUUAGGUCGUCAACACCCGGGUAGGCGAACCUUUAGGAGUGUUUUGAAUUUAUUAUCGUGAUUAUGUACACGUUCACAUGAAAUGAUUACGGUUUCUAAAAUGAAUAUUCGUAGCUUGAUCUAGGCGCGAUUAAAUAAUUAUCAUGGCUACGGGUAUGGUUCCCGUGACGUAGUUGUGAUUUGUAAUUACUAAAAUACGGAUGUACAUUUUAUGUGACCUGAUUCUAAUUUCCAACAAGGUUAAAUAUAACAUGUCAUGAACCACAUGUGCAUUUCAUGUAGCGUGGCUUACGAUGUGUUUUAAAUGACCUUGAAUUUUCCUAAAAGACAUUAAAAGCGGCUAGAAAGUUAAAAAUGCACGUAGGUUUAAAAUGUGUAAUUAAUCAGAUAAUUAGGCCAAUAAUAAUAGUUGAGCGACCGUGCUAGAACCACGGAACUUAGGAAUGCCUAACACCUUCUCCUGGGUUAACAAAAUUCAUUACCCAGAUUUCUGUGUUCGCGGACCAUAAAUAAGAGUCAACUUUCCUCGAUUCGGGAUUUAAACCGGUGACUUGGGACACCAUAAAUUAUCCCAAGUGGCGACUCUAAAUUUUGAAUUAAAUAAUCCCGUUUCGAUUGUCACUUUAAUUUGAAAAACUCCCUUAUACCCCCUUCGGGGGUAGUGAAAAGGAGGUGUGAUAGCUCUGGCAACUCUGUUGGGGAACAAGAACCCAGAAUCUCUAGUUCAGGGUUCAGAAUUCGAGCUUGGAAUAUCUAUUAUAGUUGGCUUUAUUUAUUAUCUGAUUUUUACAUGUUUGAGACUAAUGUGCUAAAUGUCACUUUUUACCACUUUGAUAUUGUUUGAACUGUAUAUAAAAUGUUACGAAACCCUCCUCUCUCUGAGUCUUCUAAAUCAUCUGGAAAGUGUGCACUUCGUGUGACUUCUUUUCUGUUAGAGUCAUAUCCUAAUUUUAGAACGAGGUUCGGACAAGUUGCAAAGCCGACGAAGCUUCUGUAUUCCCGGUACACUGCCCCCCCCCCUCGGCUCGAGCUGUCCGCUCGGGUAAGCCAGGUCUAGAACAAAUACACCUAGAUUUUAAACCUAGAAUAACUCAGCCUCAUGCUGGAUCCCUAGUAGGAACGUUUGUUUGCAUCAUGUGCAUUUGAGUUUGGGGACUCAACACAGGGGUCGGGUCCGUCUAGGACAGGUGUACCCAAAAUAACAGACCAUCUUGAUACAUCAUGUGUGCUAUAUGUUGCCUUUCUUCAAGGGUAAAAGGGUCAUUUGGCAGACCAAUGAUAGUUGAGGGCAAAUGAAAAAAGAAACAAAAUGAGAAAGAAAAGAGGGUGAAGUGUGAUAAUAAAGAAAGUAGGGCCCAGUUAUGUUUUUCUUUCAUAUUUUUGUUAAGAAAAAGACAAAAAAAAAUAAGAAAAUCCAAAAAGAGUUUACAUGUUUCAUCAUUUUUCAAAAAGACAAAAAAUAUAUUUUCUUUAAAUUAUGUGUUAAUUUUUAACUCUCGCCCGUAUCCAAUCUAUCCGAACUACGCAUACCUGAUUCUCGUCUUUCGGGGCGUGAUACGUAGGCAACCUACAUAGGGUCCGGUCUUCCUAGUGAAUCUUAGAUUCUUGGUUUUGCGGGGUCUUAACCCAAUUUUUGCAAUUCUAGCCACCUUUUGGCCACAUAAGCCAUUUUGCAAAGAUAGUCUCAAUCAUAUCUUGCAUGUGUCCAGUAGGGAGUGUUAUUGUUUCACAUAGCGUUCUAGGUCUUUAACUUUAUUUUGCCUUAAUUUUCUCAUACAGGUGUGGAUUUACUUACCAGAGUUUGAGCAUGAUAGACGUCGUAGGAUCAUCCAGUCAGGGUCGCUCAUUCAGGAGUUGCCUAAGGAGAUUUUUUUAUUUAUUUAUUAUGUUUUGAGUCUGUUGUUCAUUUUAUGUCAU